rnacentral:misc_RNA from 1 species
GUGAGUCAUCGAAUCUUUGAACGCACAUUGCGCCCGCCAGUAUUCUGGCGGGCAUGCCUGUUCGAGCGUCAUUUCAACCCUCAAGCCCAGCUUGGUGUUGGGAGCUGUCUUAGUUGACACUCCCCAAAUUGAUUGGCGGUCACGUCGAGCUUCCAUAGCGUAGUAAUUUACACAUCGUUACUGGUAAUCGUCGCGGCCACGCCGUUAAACCCCAACUUCUGAAUGUUGACCUCGGAUCAGGUAGGAAUACCCGCUGAACUUAAGCAUAUCAAUAAGCGGAGGA